rnacentral:rRNA from 1 species
AGUGAACGCUGGCGGUAGGCCUAACACAUGCAAGUCGAACGGCAGCACAGUGAGAGCUUGCUCUUACGGGUGGCGAGUGGCGGACGGGUGAGGAAUACAUCGGAAUCUACUUUUUCGUGGGGGAUAACGUAGGGAAACUUACGCUAAUACCGCAUACGACCUACGGGUGAAAGCAGGGGAUCUUCGGACCUUGCGCGAUUGAAUGAGCCGAUGUCGGAUUAGCUAGUUGGCGGGGUAAAGGCCCACCAAGGCGACGAUCCGUAGCUGGUCUGAGAGGAUGAUCAGCCACACUGGAACUGAGACACGGUCCAGACUCCUACGGGAGGCAGCAGUGGGGAAUAUUGGACAAUGGGCGCAAGCCUGAUCCGGCCAUACCGCGUGGGUGAAGAAGGCCUUCGGGUUGUAAAGCCCUUUUGUUGGGAAAGAAAAGCAGCAGGUUAAUACCCCGCUGUUCUGACGGUACCCAAAGAAUAAGCACCGGCUAACUUCGUG